ensembl:lncRNA
UGUGUUCUGAUGUUCACGCACCAAAGCAUGCCCGGGAGGGCAGUGUCCCAGCCUGUAUUUCGUGAGACAUUUGUAGCUAAACAUCACCUUUACUUCAGGAAGUGUCAGACACCAAGCCCCAGCACUGCAAAAAUACAGGUGGUCAUUCUCCAGUCAAGACUGCAAGGAGGGCCGUGAGGCCUGUCAGAUGUCCAUCCUGAGCACAGUUGUUACACCGAGGCAGUUAAACGAUAUCACCAGCAGCCCACCCCACUGCCUUUGUCUUUUCUGGUUGAGAGCAAUGGCUGCUGGGUGCAGCAAGCUGGAGGAGACACCUGAGUGAAGGGACACGAUGGCAGAGAAAAGAAGCAGCGGAGCCCUUUCUGUGCAUGAAGAUGAGAAACAGACCCUGCAACCUCUUCUGUGGUCAUUGUAGAAACACACAAAGUUUGACAUUUUAUUCUGAUCCAGUUGGCCCUACCAAUACAAUACUGAGGGAAAAAAAAGAGAAGCAGAAAGGGGCCUACAGAUAGGACCUGGUCCUGUGAAGGCAUGCCAUGCAUUGAGUGAUUGCAUAUUCUCAUUUGAUGAGCACAAUGUUCCAGUAACCCUUCCUACUCUGUACCACAUGAAAAGGCUUGGAGAGCAUAUAUUUGAUACUCAGAGGUCUGGUAUGGCAGGGCCCAUGACCGCAGUCACAAUGGAGAGAAAUUUGGGCUGAUGGACUGCUGCUGGAGCUGGUCAUCAUAGCUAUGUGAGCUGCCACAGCUGGCUGUGUUCCCAUAACAACAUGGCUUGUUGCCAUAAUAAUACAACAGGAACAUGAGUAUUGUACAGGGACCUACCUUGAUCUAUAGCUGCAGUGGCACUGUGACUGGCAUUCAUAAGGAAUGAGCAGACUUAUGGUCAUUCAGUUGUAUCCACUUACAUUAAUCUCACGACAAACACUGGAGAGUGAAAUGUGAAUUCAUGCAUUUUAGUUAUAUAGCUACAUACAUCUGAGCUAUAGCUAGAUGUCAACAUUCUUAUGUAUUCAUGUUUUCACACUGGCUUUGCACAGCAUUUGUGUCACUACAAAAGAGCCUUUAAAAAUUUACCAGAACUCCAGCUAGUGUAAAUCAACAUAGCUCCACUGAAAUGUUUUGCCUUGACAUUGGUGUGAAUAUAUUUCAGACCCGAAUGACAUAAGCUACACUUACAUCUGAAUGCAAAAACAUCAUAAAAUAACUAAUGUAUUUCUGUACCAAAACAAGCUUAGGUGAAAGCAAACCAAUGAGUCUAUCUUCCAUGAGACUGCCAAUUUUUUGCUGUUGGUGUUUAAGAGACAUGAAUGACACACAAAAUUUGCCAUGGAAAUCAAACAUACAAUUAUUAAAAUUGACACUCUCUUGCUAAAGAUUUUUUUACCAGUUCUCAUCCAUACGACUAAGGUUUUGCUUAUCUGAAGGUUAGAACCAGAGUAUUAUGCACUGGUAGAGUAAUAAUUUUUAUUGAACUUAGUAACAUAAUAGGCUGAUUUUUUCCAGUCUGAAGGAUAGGUCAAUUUGUAUUGAAUCUGCAUGGUUUCUCUUUAAAGCCCUUUGAAGAAAACACAUGCUUUUUGUAGGGAACCAUAAAGUAGAUUUAAGCUGAUACUGCCACUAUGUAGAAGGCAAAUUGCCAGCACUGCUGACAUCUAUGAGUACAUAAACUGAGUAACCCUUAAAACUCCCUCAGAGUCCUGCAAUCUAUUCCUUCUGCAUGCCUUGGCUGCUAGCUCCUCUUCCAGACAUCCUUCAGCACUUAUCUAUCAGGCACAGCCUGAACUUUCAGGAUCUCAUCUUUGCCUGGUGCCUAAACAGGAACUUUUUCCUUUAGCUUGAACACAACUUGUGCCAGGCUUCAACUGAGUAAGUAACAACAGAGAGGUGGAGUCCUGUCUGUAGGUGGUUGAUCCAAGAAAGGUGCAAAUGGAGGCGCUGCUAUUCAGAUCCAAGCUCUUCCUUGUCAACCUCCCGCUCUAACAGAUCUGUCUAUAAUGAGACUCUUCACCUUUGAGUACUAUGCCUCAGAAACAGAUUGUAAAUGCGGAGGGCCUCAUGCACAGUACUUUUAAGAAUCUGGCAGCAGACAGGCAGGUGGCAUGCAGAAGCUGGUGCUGCUGCUGGGAAUGGAAGAGGGACGACCCACUUGCACCUUCCCUCCCUUCUACCCACUUUAAAGUUCCUCAGACAUGGUGAGCCAUUUGGAACAGCACUUGCCAGAGUCUGUGGACAGAUAUAGUGUACGUGACAGGGCUUCAGCCCAGGGUGGCAACCACAGGUUCUGCCCAGUGACAGCUCAGAAUAUGUACGUUUACAAAUACCUCUUACAAGUCAGAGUCAAAAGCAGUGUGACAGGUACCUACCGGAGGUACAGUGGUGAGCAGGUAGGGAGGAGAAUGAGGAGCUAGAAGCCUGCCUUCUCUUCCUGCUUCAUUGAUUCACUCCAUUUCUGCACCCUACUCCGUACAAUGGGAGUUCCUAUGCUCACUCUCAGUUAUGAUUAAUUUUCAUGCCCUAAUUUUCAUAAGCAACUAUUAGGCUUGUUCAUGAUUUUGAAAAGCUUUGUCAAGGUGAAAGUUAGACUGAAAUCAUGGUCUGACUUCUUCCCCAGCUCAGCAGAGACUCGACAGUCGGUGGAUACUGAGUCUUCCCAUGUGGUAGGCUAUACCCACUCUUUGAGGUAUAGUAGUUUCAAAAAAUGAGGCCAACUCACCGGUUUGGCAUGUCAGAGAAGAGGAGCAUUCCCACAAGGGAACUUGUCUGCACAACUUGGAUAUUCAAAUUUUGUCAGACAGGAUCUCUCUCCAAGGUAGAGGAGUUUCCUUCUGUCUUGUCUUAGGAACAAUGCAGGCAUGUAGUUUAGGGAAAUCGCUUCAUUAAGUACUUAAGUGUAGGGAUAAGGCAGGUGCCACGGCUUGGUGGAUUAGAACAUCGCUAUGAAAACAUCAAGUGAUCAAGGAUGGACCACAGCAUGAUGCAAGCCCUUAGCACAAAUAGUUGUGUUCUCUCCCUUUUAUGACUUCAUGUGUAUGUUUCCUGGGUUGAUUAAGAACGAGUGUAUCAGAACCCCAAGCUGAAAUGCCCUCUGUAAGCGCCCUCUGUUUCUCUUUCAACAGUGAAACCACAGUGAGUGCAACUUGUCUGUGCUAAAGGCAACCUUGGCAAACAUCUCCUUAUCAGCUGGAGAAAUCCUUGAACAACCAAAUUACAGCCUGAUUUCACAUAAUUGUUGUUAGUCAGGAAAGAUUCGUAAGCAUAUGUGUAACUUAGCAUGAACUGUGUUACUUACUUACUUACAAUGAUUUAA